AUACGUAGGGUGCAAGCGUUAAUCGGAAUUACUGGGCGUAAAGCGUGCGCAGGCGGUUUUGUAAGACAGAGGGGAAAUCCCCGGGCUCAACCUGGGAACUGCCUUUGUGACUGCAAGGCUAGAGUACGGCCGAGGGGGAUGGAAUUCCGCGUGUAGCAGUGAAAUGCGUAGAUAUGCGGAGGAAAACCGAUGGCGAAGGCAAUCCCCUGGGCCUGUACUGACGCUCAUGCACGAAAGCGUGGGGAGCAAACAGGAUUAGAUACCCUGGUAGUCCACGCCCUAAACGAUGUCAACUGGUUGUUGGGUCUUCAUUGACUCAGUAACGAAGCUAACGCGUGAAGUUGACCGCCUGGGGAGAACGGCCGCAAGGUUGAAACUCAAAGGAAUUGACGGGG
rnacentral:rRNA from 1 species